rnacentral:rRNA from 1 species
UACGUAGGGUGCGAGCGUUGUCCGGAAUUAUUGGGCGUAAAGAGCUCGUAGGCGGUUUGUCGCGUCUGCCGUGAAAGUCCGGGGCUCAACUCCGGAUCUGCGGUGGGUACGGGCAGACUAGAGUGAUGUAGGGGGAGACUGGAAUUCCUGGUGUAGCGGUGAAAAUGCGCAGAUAUCAGGAGGAACACCGAUGGCGAAGGCAGGUCUCUGGGCAUUAACUGACGCUGAGGAGCGAAAGCAUGGGGAGCGAACAGG